UACGGAGGGUGCAAGCGUUAUCCGGAUUCACUGGGUUUAAAGGGUGCGUAGGUGGGCAGGUAAGUCAGUGGUGAAAUCUCCGGGCUUAACCCGGAAACUGCCGUUGAUACUAUCUGUCUUGAAUAUCCUGGAGGUGAGCGGAAUAUGUCAUGUAGCGGUGAAAUGCUUAGAUAUGACAUAGAACACCAAUUGCGAAGGCAGCUCACUACGGGAUUAUUGACACUGAGGCACGAAAGCGUGGGGAUCAAACAGG
rnacentral:rRNA from 1 species